ACAUAGCUAAAUCUAUUUUUGUUUCAUAUCAAGUAAAGUUGAAUCGUUUUGCUAACCUUCCUACUCUUUCUUUAUUUGCAUGAACACUUUGGAGCAAAAAUAGAGUCUUGAUUAGGGACUCUAGCCAAUUUAGAGUCCUAUGAGACUCGAAGUUACCAUAAUUCCAGUUAUGUAUUAAUUUGCAGAAGAUCUGAAUUUAUACAAGGAAAAAUCUAAUCAUUUCCUAUCUAGUAGCCACUUACAAAGUGGAUGUUAAAACUAAAUAAGAACAUGACCC
rnacentral:lncRNA from 1 species